rnacentral:miRNA from 1 species
GGCAACAUUUUGUGCAGUAUUGUAACUUUUACAAUGAACUAUCAUUGUAAAAGUUACAAUACUACACAAAAUGUUGCCAUA